GGCGACCGAUGUCUCCCUUACCAAAUCCAUACUGGCUGUAGAGGUAAUAGACAUAAGGGCCCUGCAGCCAAUCCCCGGCCAUCAUGAGCGAGUAGACAACGAGAUAGUUGUUCUUGAAGGAGUUGAAGGCCGGUGAGGUGGCGGCGCGGUCCUUGUUGUUCUUGCUCAGCUCCAGCAGCGCCACCACCACCGACAGCCCCCCGAACACCAUGUAGUAGAAGAGCUCCAUCUCCGCCGCUCCUCAAUCACGCCGGCGCCUAACAGAGAUGGGGAAUAUUGAUAUAGGGGGCCGUUGGAUCUGGAGU
rnacentral:misc_RNA from 1 species